rnacentral:rRNA from 1 species
UGGGGAAUAUUGGACAAUGGGGGGAACCCUGAUCCAGCCAUGCCGCGUGUGUGAAGAAGGCCUUAUGGUUGUAAAGCACUUUAAGCGAGGAGGAGGGUACUGGUAUUAAUACUACCAGGUACUGGACGUUACUCGCAGAAUAAGCACCGGCUAACUCUGUGCCAGCAGCCGCGGUAAUACAGAGGGUGCGAGCGUUAAUCGGAUUUACUGGGCGUAAAGCGUGCGUAGGCGGCUAAUUGAGUCGGAUGUGAAAUCCCCGAGCUUAACUUGGGAAUUGCAUUCGAUACUGGUUAGCUAGAGUGUGGGAGAGGAUGGUAGAAUUCCAGGUGUAGUGGUGAAAUGCGUAGAGAUCUGGAGGAAUACCGAUGGCGAAGGCAGCCAUCUGGCCUAACACUGACGCUGAGGUACGAAAGCAUGGGGAGCAAACAGG